rnacentral:rRNA from 1 species
ACUCCUGCGGGAGGCAGCAGUGGGGAAUUUUGGACAAUGGGCGAAAGCCUGAUCCAGCCAUGCCGCGUGCAGGAUGAAGGCCUUCGGGUUGUAAACUGCUUUUGUACGGAACGAAACGGCCUUUUCUAAUAAAGAGGGCUAAUGACGGUACCGUAAGAAUAAGCACCGGCUAACUACGUGCCAGCAGCCGCGGUAAUACGUAGGGUGCAAGCGUUAAUCGGAAUUACUGGGCGUAAAGCGUGCGCAGGCGGUUAUGUAAGACAGUUGUGAAAUCCCCGGGCUCAACCUGGGAACUGCAUCUGUGACUGCAUAGCUAGAGUACGGUAGAGGGGGAUGGAAUUCCGCGUGUAGCGGUGAAAUGCGUAGAUAUGCGGAGGAACACCGAUGGCGAAGGCAAUCCCCUGGACCUGUACUGACGCUCAUGCACGAAAGCGUGGGGAGCAAACAGGAUUAGAAACCCGAGUAGUCCCAU